CCUACGGGGGGCAGCAGUGGGGAAUAUUGGGCAAUGGGCGCAAGCCUGACCCAGCAACGCCGCGUGAAGGAAGAAGGCUUUCGGGUUGUAAACUUCUUUUAAGGGGGAAGAGCAGAAGACGGUACCCCUUGAAUAAGCCACGGCUAACUACGUGCCAGCAGCCGCGGUAAUACGUAGGUGGCAGGCGUUGUCCGGAUUUACUGGGUGUAAAGGGCGUGCAGCCGGAGAGACAAGUAAGAUGUGAAAUCCACGGGUUAAACCCGUGAACUGCAUUUGAAACUGUUUCCCUUGAGUGUCGGGGAGGUAGUCGGAAUUCGUUGUGUAGCGGUGAAAUGCGUAGAUAUAAGGAAGAACACCGGUGGCGAAGGCGGAUUACUGGACGAUAACUGACGGUGAGGCGCGAAAGCGUGGGGAUCAAACAGGAUUAGAUACCCCGGUAGUC
rnacentral:rRNA from 1 species